GCGUUCAUAGCUCAGUUGGUUAGAGCACCACCUUGACAUGGUGGGGGUCAUUGGUUCGAGUCCAAUUGAACGCACCA
rnacentral:tRNA from 1 species